rnacentral:rRNA from 1 species
AUGCUAGAUGCUUUUGAAGAGGCCACUGAAGAGUAUCAGAAUCAACUCCACUUGUACAAGCAAUGGACAAAUGAUGAUGCUCAUGCCUCUUCUAUCUUGGUGAACAACAUGGAUGUCGAUCUCACCAUGGAUUUGGUGGCCCUUACGACUGCAUAUCAGAUGUGGGAGCACCUUCGCCAUUGCUAUGAGUCUACAGGGGAUGCCAUGUAUCUUUCUGUUGUUCGUCAAGAGCAACAACUACAACAAAGAGAUGCUACUGUGGAUGAUUUCUACAAGGAGAUGUCGGCACUGUGGCGCCAAUUGGACUCUCUGGGAGCUGAUGUUUGUUGCGGAUGUUAG